rnacentral:rRNA from 1 species
UGGGGAAUUUUGGACAAUGGGGGAAACCCUGAUCCAGCCAUCCCGCGUGUGCGAUGAAGGCCUUCGGGUUGUAAAGCACUUUUGGCAGGAAAGAAACGUCAUGGGUUAAUACCCCGUGAAACUGACGGUACCUGCAGAAUAAGCACCGGCUAACUACGUGCCAGCAGCCGCGGUAAUACGUAGGGUGCAAGCGUUAAUCGGAAUUACUGGGCGUAAAGCGUGCGCAGGCGGUUCGGAAAGAAAGAUGUGAAAUCCCAGAGCUCAACUUUGGAACUGCAUUUUUAACUACCGGGCUAGAGUGUGUCAGAGGGAGGUGGAAUUCCGCGUGUAGCAGUGAAAUGCGUGGAUAUGCGGAGGAACACCGAUGGCGAAGGCAGCCUCCUGGGAUAACACUGACGCUCAUGCACGAAAGCGUGGGGGGCAAACAGG